rnacentral:sRNA from 1 species
GGACGCCAUCCGAGACGUGCAUGUGAAGGGCCUCAUGUACCAGUGGAUCGAGCAGGACAUGGAGAAGUAUAUCCUGAGAGGGGAUGAGACGUUUGCUGUCCUGAACCGCCUGGUGGCCCAUGGGAAACAGCUGUUCCUCAUCACCAACAGUCCUUUCAGCUUCGUGUGAGUCCAGCCCCUGUGGACGGAGGGACAGCAGGGCCAGGGCUCUGGGUGGGGAGGGCAGGCACAGAGCCGCCCUCAGACUACUUGCCACCUGAAACUCCUCUACACAGAGACAAGGGGAUGCGGCACAUGGUGGGUCCCGAUUGGCGCCAGCUCUUCGAUGUGGUCAUUGUCCAGGCAGACAAGCCCAGCUUCUUCACUGACCGGCGCAAGCCUUUCAGAAAACUCGAUGAGAAGGGCUCACUUCAGUGGGACCGGAUCACCCGCUUGGAAAAGGGCAAGAUCUAUCGGCAGGGAAACCUGUUUGACUUCUUACGCUUGACGGAAUGGCGUGGCCCCCGCGUGCUCUACUUCGGGGACCACCUCUAUAGUGAUCUGGCGGAUCUCAUGCUGCGGCACGGUUGGCGCACAGGCGCCAUCAUCCC